CGUGCAUUCCAUCCAGAAGGACGUAGCGAGUCACUGGAAGCGAGUCUUGCAUGGGUCUUGGCGACAGGAUUUAUGAAGCGUAGACAGCGGGUACAAAAGCCGCGUGAUAGAGCCUCGAAGUAAUUAUUAUUGCAGGAGGCUUUCACUUUUCAUUCAGUGGGAGCGACCGUGGACGGGCGACAAGCGAGCGCGCACACCUCAGCCGGGGUCCGAGAGCG
rfam:Termite gut metagenome tgut2b_Contig13843, whole genome shotgun sequence.